rnacentral:rRNA from 1 species
ACUGCUCAGUAACACGUGGCUAAUCUGCCCUUAGGACGAGAACAACCCCGGGAAACUGGGGCUAAUUCUCGAUAGGCGAAGAACUCUGGAAUGAGUCUUUACCUAAAUAGUGCAACGUUAUCCUCGUUGCAUCGCCUAAGGAUGAGGCCGCGACCGAUCAGGUUGUUGGUGAGGUAAUGGCUCACCAAGCCUUUUACCGGUGCGGGCCGUGAGAGCGGGAGCCCGGAGAUGGGCACUGAGACAAGGGCCCAGGCCCUACGGGGCGCAGCAGUCGCGAAAACUUUGCAAUACACGAAAGUGUGACAGGGCUAUCCCGAGUGCCAUCCGCUGAGGAAGGCUUUUACCCAGUCUAGAACGCUGGGGGAAUAAGGAGAGGGCAAGUCCGGUGUCAGCCGCCGCGGUAAUACCAGCUCUCCGAGUGGUGUGGAUGUUUAUUGGGCCUAAAGCAUCCGUAGCUGGCUAAGUUAGUCCCUUGUUAAAUCCACCGAAUUAAUCGUUGGAUUGCGGGGGAUACUGCUUGGCCAGGGGACGAGAGAGGCAGACGGUAUUUCCGGGGUAGGGGUGAAAUCCUAUAAUCCCGGGAAGACCACCAGUGGCGAAGGCUGUCUGCUAGAACGCGCCCGACGGUGAGGGAUGAAAGCUGGGGUAGCGAACCGGAUUAGAUACCCGGGUAGUCCCAGCUGUAAACGAUGCAGGCUAGGUGUUUGGGCGGCCACGUGCCGCUCUAGUGCCGCAGGGAAGCUGUUAAGCCUGCCGCUUGGGGAGUACGAUCGCAAGAUUGAAACUUAAAGGAAUUGGCGGGGGAGCAC